ACAAACCGGCAAGAGGCAGAACUAUGAAGAGGUACCAGGUCUGCCUGUGCAGGACAGCCGUGCUCACCAGUGACUGCGCUCCACCCCGCACUUCCCAGCCCCCCUGCAGCUCCACUGGGGUCACACGGCCAAAGCGCCCUGAGCAGAACAAACCAUGAGCAAUUGGCAGUGAUGUGUGUCCCUUCUGAACCGAGGCAUUUAAGGGGCAGCAGCCCCGGAAGCCAUGAGUUGAGAUGAGAUAGUGGGCUCUAGAAGAAGAGAAUAAGCCCGGAUGCAGGUGGCACCACGUGUAGGAGAGCAGCUGUGGGAAUUCUGAGAUGUGCAUCAGACUUUCUGAAAGCAGGAAACAAACUCGUGUUGUGCUAAUCCCCCAAGACUUCAGAGAUUUUAGUACUUCUCCAGCGUGAGGCAGAGGAAGGAGAUGAGGGAACAAAGGCAGCAACUGCCUCUUCUUCAGCAGAGGUGUGGGACUAAAAUGCUUGUGAAGCAGCCAGAUGGAAACCCUGAGAAGCUCAUGGAGAACUGCGCAACACAUCACACCGGAACUGUGUCUGCGGGAUUCUAGAGACCGGCUGGGAGCAAGAGAAAAAGCGAGUUAACUGCAAAUGGCUGCGGCGUUAUCCUGCCCUAACGAAAUCCUUCCCCUUCUUGCCACCCACACAAACUUUACAUCUUGGCUUCGACCUUAAUAAACUGCCUGAUACCCCGAAGAUUGUCACACGUUGGAAUGCAAGCCUUCAUAACAAAGAAAGAUUUUAAAGACCCACAGAAUGACCUUUAGAAGCAGCCCAGACUCUCUCCCCUGUCUCAGGUGGUUUUGACUCACUCCUGGUAGACUGGAAGAGAGAAUGGCUUUCUCUCAGGCUCUGGAAAUUUAGUCAUCCUUCUCUCCACUGUUUUGCCAAUGCGUUAGCAUAUGUAUCAUAUGCUCUCCUUCCAGCAAUAUUAAACUUGGGACUAUUAAAUCUUCCCAAUACUUUCAUUCUCGUAAUUUACACUACUCACACAAAUUCAAACAUAUAUACACAUAAAUUCAUAUAUUCAUAUAAAUUCAUUAAAAUAGUGAAAAACUGAAAAAAACCUGAAUAUCCAUGAACAGAAGACUGUCUAUAUUAUGAUAUUUUCCUACAAGGCAAUUUAUUAUUCUUAAGAUGAUUUUGUACCUCUGGAUUUAUGGAUAGGCAAAUACAUCCAUGUCAGAUUUGUGAGUACAAAUUUAAAUUAAAAAAAUAUCUGUAGUGCAAUUCUAUUUAUGUAAAACUGUCUGCCUUUGAGUGCAUGUGUGUUUGUGUUUGUGAAUAAAGAAGACUGAAGGGA